ACAAAGCAAGCCUCCUGAUAGCUGGAUGUGUUUUGAAAUACUUGUAAAGUCCUUGAUGAGAAAAGCCUGCCUGUAGCAUGUAGGAGAGUAAAAAAGAGAAUAAGCAACCUGAUGCCACAUAUUGAAAUUUCAUUUGACAAAUAUGCAUUGAAUAUCUACUAUGUGGCAGACAGCCUUCAAGCAGGAGGGAUACACAGAUGAACCAAAUGUAGGCCCUGCCUGUGAGACUCCAGACUGGACAGAAUGCACUUAAGUCCACAUAGCAGUAAUACACGUCGGACUGUGAGGAUGGCUGAGCAGAAGGAAGAGCAAGGAAUUCUCUAUGGGAAGACUCUGGAAGGCUUUAACAAGGAUGUGCUCUUUAGCUGAACCUUAAAGCAUGAGUGAAAAAAAAGAGCAGAAAAAGGUGGUGUUUUGAGCAGAGAACAGACACUGAGCAAGAAGCAGAAGAGCAGAGGAGCCGAGAAAGCUGGACAGAGUUCUAGAAAUGUGGCAUGGAAGGAAUGAAAGGUCUGAGGAGGGAAAGGAGGUCAGGACCAACUACGAAUGGUCUGGAAUGACUUGCUACACGUGGAUUUGACUUUAUUUGUAGGCCGGGGGGUUGUAGAGGUUUUAUAUUUUUAUACAUUUAUUUUUUAAUUUUCAUAUUUCAACAGAGCUUGUUUCAAGUAAUUCUUAUGUAAAACAUGAAUGUAUACAACAAAAACAAGCGGGUGAUGUUUCAUUAGUACAAACGUGCUUUUAUAAUCUUAACUUUAUUAAGCUUGCUUAUUCUUAAGUUAACCAAUGAGAACAAUUCUAAUCGUCUGCACAUGAGUCAAGAUUUUGCACUCUGUGCAAGUGACUGAAAACUCAAUUCAAACUAACUCAGGAAAAAAAAAAGUGGGGGAAGGGAGGAAGAAGAUUUAUUACCCAUAUAAAUCCAGGAGGGGUUCUGGGAUUCAGGAAUCAGUUGAUUGUGGGGCUGAAAGAAUAUUAUCAAAGCUUCAGCUGAUUUCUCAGCUCCAUGUCCCCUCUAUAGUAGCUGCUUCAUUCUCAACAUGAGCAUCCUUGGUAGUCCCCAGGAACGCUGGGCUUAGAAUCACCUUUACAAGCGGCAAUCUUCCUUUCCUACCAAAGCCCACCACAGUCCCAGAACUAAGCCUCAGCGACCUGGCCCGCCUCACAUGUCCAUCCCUGAACCUGUGGCCAACACAAUGGUGUAUCCCAAAUGAGCAUGGUGGGUCCUGCAUACAUCCAGGUCUCGAAGGAAAAUCGAGCUGCUGUCACCGGAAGGAGGAUGCACAGGAAAAAAAAAACACAGUUUAUUCUAUUUUGACCAAUGUGAAAAUUUUAAAUUUAGGAUAAGGGAUUGCAGGUUUAUACCAGUUUUAACACUCACUUUGUUUCUGUAUUUUAUUUGCACAGUAUUGAGAAAAUUCUGAUUCAUUACUGGUAACUGUUUUUUAAAUAGCAUACCUGUUUAAAUUACACCUGGAACAUUCAAAAUAGUCUUAAAUUAAACUUGUGCCAAAGUGUAAGUAGGUUGAAAGUCUGAGCAAUGGGAAGUUUUAUUUCAAAGUUUAAUUCUACAAACAAUCUCCUCUGUUAAUUUAAGUGUUCACUGGGAAGAUGUUUCUCAAAUGUAUCUAUAAUAUCUAACAAGAAAUUCAACAAUGUUACUUAUUUUUUAAACUUAGUAUCUCAGUAACUAUUGCUCAAAGCUUGAGUGUGAUAAAAUUAAUGUUUUGCUCUUUGAGUCAUAAAGUUAGGUUUCAACUUAAUUGCUGGCAUGCUAUCAGCAAAUGUAAGCAUGGUGAUAUUGCAACUUCACAUUGCCAAACUGAACUCAUUCAGUUUCUUGAAAAACAUCAGCAAGUUUAUGCAACUCUGUUAUAUCAGAGAACUAUUUGCUAAGUCUCAUUUGGGAUACAAUAUUUAGUGAUUUCUUGUCUCAUUUGAAAGAGUAAUAACAACACCUUGCCUCAAGACAGUUGGUAAGUGUACUUUCCCAGGAGAAAGUACACUGUGGAACCCACAACCCAAUACAUUCCCAAAAACUAUAAAAAGGCUGAAAUUGGAAUCUCCUGUCUCAUUAAACUGACAAUGUAAAGGAAAUCGCUAAUCACUGUUUUUGCUUUUGUUUUUUGAGACGGAGUCUCGCUCUGUAGCCCAGGCUGGAGUGCAGUGGCGCAAUCUCGCUCACUUGCAAGCUCCGCCUCCCGGGUUCACGCCAUUCUCCUGCCUCAGCCUCCCCAGCAGCUGGGACUAUAGGCGCACACCACCACGCCCGGCUAAUUUUUUGUAUUUUUAGUAGAGAUGGGGUUUCACCGUGUUAGCCAGGACCGUCUCCAUCUCCUGACUUUGUGAUCCUCCCGACUCGGCCUCCCAAAGUGUUGGGAUUACAGGCGUGAGCCACCGCGCCCAGCCUAAUCACUGUUUUAAGAGAUGCUCAUGUCACCUUAAUAGCAAGUGCUUUUCUGUGCAACUUGCCAUGUCUUAUUCAAAAUCACAUUUCACCAAGAAAAUUCCUCAGCACUUUGCACCACUUCAUCCCAUUCUGCAUAGCCUUAUUUUCCUAAUUGGGCUAACAUGACUCUUUUCUUAGCCUGAGAGCCCUGCAAGGGCUGGAACUCUCUUAUUAUGUGCUUUCUCUCCAUUGAGCUUACUAAUGUAUACUCAGAGCUUAGACUGUAAAUGUUUGGUGAAUAAAUUAUGUAUGUAUGUAUGUAUGUAUGUAUAUUUAAUGUGUUUUAUUUACAAAAAAAAUUAAAGGAAAAUUUUCACCAAGCCAUUGUUUCAAAUAAAAUUCUUUUUUUUUAAUUUUUUUUUUUAUUUUGAGACAAUCUCACUCUGUCACCCAGGCUGGAGUGCAGUAGCGCAAUCUUGGCUCACUGCCACCUCCGCCUCCUGGGUUCAAGCGAUUCUCGUGCCUCAGCCACCCAAGUAGCUGGGAUCACAGGCAUGUGCCACCAUGCCCAGCUAAUUCUUGUAUUUUUAGUAGAGACGGGGUUUCACCAUGUUGACUAGGCUGGUCUUGAACUCUUGGCCUCCCAAAGUGCUGAGAUUACAGACAUGAGCCACCACACCCAGCCUCAAAUAAAAUUCUUGAGAUUAAGAGUUUUUACACCCCUUAUAAAUAGCACACAAAACAAGAAACCAAAAACUUAUCUCCUCUACAGAAAUGUUUUGCAAUGGCUAUUUUGACCCCAGGACCAUUUACAUUCCUCAUUCAUUCAUCAAACAGUUAGGAAGCACCUACUACAUGCUAUUAAACUGUCCCCAUUGCUGAGGAUAUCUUCUGAAAGACAUUAAAUACAGUUUUUGACCUCAAGGAGUCUAGUCAGGGAGAAUCAUAGAACUCAAAUCAUCAUCAUGCCACCUGAUGUGUGCCAUAAGAGAGAUACGAAUAUUACGUGGUGUUGAUUAGGCUCUUUCGGGUUGCCAGGAAAAGAGACGUGCUCUGGUGACUUGCAUUAAUGUGGUUCAUUAUGAGGAAGUAGGGAAGAACAGGAAGCAGUUUUAGCAGCUGCCUGGCGGGUCUGGCAGAGCCAGGAAUGUCAUUCAGGACAUAGUAUACCUCCAGCCACCUGUUCUUCUUGACAUUGCUUCAACGGCAAGCAUCUGUUGCUCCUUCUCUAGUGCUCUGCCAGUGUGAUGACUCAGCCACGCUCUGCCCUGCUUUCUCUGCUCGUGCUGCUAAAUCC
rnacentral:lncRNA from 10 species